rnacentral:antisense_RNA from 1 species
GUGAAGUCCCACUUCUUGCCGGGCUCGGCCAGCGCCUGCCCGCCGAAGGCGUCCCCGUCGGCCAGCAGCCCGACGACCGACUCGUCGUUGUCGUAGGGGCCGUCGACGAUCUUCUCCACCUUGCCGUGCGCGACCAGGUACACGUGGUCGGCCUUGCGGCCGGCCUGCACGAUGACCUGGCCCGGCUCGUACUCCUUCUGCACGAACUUCUCGGCCAGCGCGCCGAGCGCGUCGUCGUCGGUGAAGCCGCGCAGCGGCGGCAGUUCACCGAGCUCGGCCGGGACGACCUGGACCUUCGCUCCGGUCUUCACGAAGGAGACCCGGCCGUCACCCAGGGUGUACGACAGCCGGCGGUUGACCCGGUAGGUCGCGCCCGGCACGUUCACCCACGGCAGCAUCCGGGUCAGCCAGCGCGAGCUGAUCCCCUGCAUCUGGGGCUCGGACUUGGUGGUCGUGGCCAGAUUGCGCGCUGCCGCGGUGCUGAGGCUCUGCUGCUCCUGCUG